AGGAUACACUCCCCUCCUGCUACCUAGGCAGGCGUGAGGGUGUGACGGCCGCGCAUUCGCCAGACGAGAGCGAUGGCUGAGAACGCCGCACCAGGUCUGAUCUCAGAGCUGAAGCUGGCUGUGCCCUGGGGCCACAUCGCAGCCAAAGCCUGGGGCUCCCUGCAGGGCCCUCCAGUUCUCUGCCUGCACGGCUGGCUGGACAAUGCCAGCUCCUUCGACAGACUCAUCCCUCUUCUCCCGCAAGACUUUUAUUACGUUGCCAUGGAUUUCGGAGGUCAUGGGCUCUCGUCCCAUUACAGCCCAGGUGUCCCAUAUUACCUCCAGACUUUUGUGAGUGAGAUCCGAAGAGUUGUGGCAGGCAGAGAACAGCAUUGACUUCGUCAGCAGGGAGCUGUGUGCGCAUUCCAUCAGGAAGCUGCAGGCCCAUGUCCUGUUGAUCAAAGCAGUCCACGGAUAUUUUGAUCCAAGAGAGAAUUACUCUGACAAGGAGUCCCUGUCGUUCAUGAUAGACACAAUGAAAUCCACCCUCAAAGAGGACUACUUCGGAUACAAUCACAGCAACCCUGGCCUCGGCCCUGCCCUGUCCCUGCCAUGCAACUUCACAACUCAGCUGGCCUAGACCCCUGGGAGGCCUCCAAGUCCCUAAGCGGUUCCAGUUUGUGGAAGUCCCAGGCAAUCACUGUGUCCACAUGAGCGAACCCCAGCACGUGGCCAGUAUCAUCAGCUCCUUCUUACAGUGCACACACACGCUCCCAGCCCAGCUGUAGCUCUGGGCCUGGAACUAUGAAGACCUAGUGCUCCCAGACUCAACACUGGGACUCUGAGUUCCUGAGCCCCACAACAAGGCCAGGGAUGGUGGGGACAGGCCUCACUAGUCUUGAGGCCCAGCCUAGGAUGGUAGUCAGGGGAAGGAGCGAGAUUCCAACUUCAACAUCUGUGACCUCAAGGGGGAGACAGAGUCUGGGUUCCAGGGCUGCUGUCUCCUGGCUAAUAAUCUCCAGCCAGCUGGAGGAAGGAAGGGCGGGCUGGGCCCACCUAGCCUUUCCCUGCUGCCCAACUGGAUGGAAAAUAAAAGGUUCUUGUAUUCUCA
ensembl:lncRNA SERHL serine hydrolase like (pseudogene)